rnacentral:rRNA from 1 species
UACGUAGGGAGCAAGCGUUGUUCGGAUUUACUGGGCGUAAAGGGCGCGUAGGCGGCGCGGUAAGUCACUUGUGAAAUCUCUGAGCUUAACUCAGAACGGCCAAGUGAUACUGCAGUGCUAGAGUGCGGAAGGGGCAAUCGGAAUUCUUGGUGUAGCGGUGAAAUGCGUAGAUAUCAAGAGGAACACCUGAGGUGAAGACGGGUUGCUGGGCCAACACUGACGCUGAGGCGCGAAAGCCAGGGGAGCAAACGGG